rnacentral:rRNA from 1 species
GAUGAACGCUAGCUACAGGCUUAACACAUGCAAGUCGAGGGACCGGCGCAGGGGUGAGUAACACGUAUCCCUCCUGCCCUGUACUCGGGGAUAACUUUUCGAAAGAAAGAUUAAUACCCGAUAUAAAGGAUCGGGAUGCGUUCGGUUAGGUGGUUGGUGAGGUAACGGCCCACCAAGCGUUCGAUGGAUAGUGGUUCUGAGAGGAAGGUCCCCCACAUUGGAACUGCGACACGGUCCAAACCGCGACGCGAGGCAGAAGUGAGGAAUAUUGGUCACGGGGCGUUAGCCCAGACCAGCCAAGUAGCGUGAAGGAUGAAGGCUUAUGGGUCGUAAACUUGUGUUAUAUAAGAAUAUGUAUUAGAUGAAUAAGGAUCGGCUAACUCCGUGCCAGCCGCCGCGGUAAUAC